CAGCAGUGGAUCAGUCCCAUAUGAAAAUGUCCAACGUUACAGGAGAGAAAACACGUUCACAGCCUGAUACAAAAACGCUCUCUUCACUAACUGCUGCAGCAGAAAAUUCACCCUCAAAAAACACACACUGUGAAAAAAAUGAAGUGGACACUAAGCGAUGAAGAGCUGGUCCUGAUUUUUCUAAACAAGAAAAGGAAGAAACUGAGAUUCUGGGUUCAUCAGGAGAAGGAAGAGGAUGUCGGUGGGGCAGCAUGAACUCUUGUUAGCAAGGUUGGGACCACAUCAGAGGAGGCAGAGAAAUCAUUUCAGAGAGCCUACUGACCUGAGCAGUGUCUAUGUGUAUGUCUGAGGUUCAAAAAAUAAUAAAUGCCCGAAAAUUCGUCCAUCAAAAUUAC